ensembl:Y_RNA Y_RNA Y RNA
GGCUCGUCCGAGUGCAGUGGUGUUUACAACUAAUUGAUCACAACCAGUUACAGAUUUCUUUGUUCCUUCUCCACUCCCACUGCUUCACUUGACUAGCCUUAA